GGACUUGUAGCUCAGUGGUAGAGCGUUGUACUUAUGCGGAAAUCUCUCGUCAUGCAACGGCCGAGGGUUCGACCCCCUCCUGGUCCA
rnacentral:tRNA from 1 species